rnacentral:rRNA from 1 species
GAUGAACGCUGGCGGCGUGCCUAAUACAUGCAGGUCGAGCGAACGGACGAGAAGCUUGCUUUUCUGAUGUUAGCGGCGGGCGGGUGAGUAACACGUGGAUAACCUACCUAUAAGACUGGGAUAACUUCGGGAAACCGGAGCUAAUACCGGAUAAUAUUUUGAACCGCAUGGUUCAAAAGUGAAAGACGGUCUUGCUGUCACUUAUAGAUGGAUCCGCGCUGCAUUAGCUAGUUGGUAAGGUAACGGCUUACCAAGGCAACGAUGCAUAGCCGACCUGAGAGGGUGAUCGGCCACACUGGAACUGAGACACGGUCCAGACUCCUACGGGAGGCAGCAGUAGGGAAUCUUCCGCAAUGGGCGAAAGCCUGACGGAGCAACGCCGCGUGAGUGAUGAAGGUCUUCGGAUCGUAAAACUCUGUUAUUAGGGAAGAACAUAUGUGUAAGUAACUGUGCACAUCUUGACGGUACCUAAUCAGAAAGCCACGGCUAACUACGUG